rnacentral:rRNA from 1 species
UACGUAGGGUGCAAGCGUUGUCCGGAAUUAUUGGGCGUAAAGAGCUCGUAGGCGGUCUGUCGCGUCGGCUGUGAAAACUCGGGGCUCAACCCCGAGCCUGCAGUCGAUACGGGCAGACUAGAGUGCGGUAGGGGAGACUGGAAUUCCUGGUGUAGCGGUGAAAUGCGCAGAUAUCAGGAGGAACACCGGUGGCGAAGGCGGUUCUCUGGGCCUGUACUGACGCUGAGGAGCGAAAGCGUGGGGAGCAAACAGG